CUGUGGUGACUCAGCAGAGCCCAGAGAGCCUGGCCCUGCCAUCUGUCCUGGACACCCUUUUCUUGCUUGGUUUUGGGAGGAGGUCAGGGGUUGUGGCAGGGACCCACAGCACUUCCCUUUUACAGAUCUUUUCUGCACACUCAGUGGAGGGGGAGGGAGGAAUUGACUGAGGGCAAGGGCAGAAAGAGGCAUAGGUUCCUCCCCUACUCUUCCUCUCUUGAGAGCUCAGAUUAUUCCGGAUGCUUGGUAGCGGGAGGUUGUGGGGUGGUGCGCCCCCCGGGGCGAGGGUUGUCACGCAUGCUCUGCAGUGACUAGAGUGGCGUGGGCCACCGUUGACUGGACUUCACGUGUUCAAAGUGAGCAGUCGUGGCCGAGCCUUUGCCUCCUAGGCUCUUUGUCCUGAUUUAAUUGCUCCUUGAGCACGGCCAAUCCUGGGCCCUUGGGUCUUUUUGUCCUGCUGGAAGGAACGUGUCUUUCUUUUAGUGGACCUAGGCCCAUGAGGAGCAGCACCUAGAAAUGGCUAUUUCUGUUAAACUUUCUUUUUCUCCCAAGUGAGAAAUUUCUAAUUCUCAAAUUUCCCGCAUUGUAUGUGCACAGGGGUUCUUAAUCUCGUUAACUCUCUUUCGUUCUGAAGCUUUUCCAGGUCUGUGGGCAGGCGUUGAAGUUCUGACCCACCUAGCCAACUCCUAACAGUUAGAGCUCCGCGUCUGGUCGAAGAACCAUCCUUGGAGGCUUUUCCGUUCUUACUGUGGCUUGAAGCUCUUUUUUUCUGGGGUAGUUUCAUCAGGUGGAAGUUAAAAUCGGUGUGAGCUCUACCUCGGAACAGGGACUUAACUGAAAGCGGAGGGAGAACUUGUGGGUUUUCAAAUGUGAGGCCGCUGAGCUCUGCGGAGCUCAGGAGGAGGAGGAGGACAGUCUGCCUUUCGGCCAGACACCCCUCGCCUGCUGCCCCUCACGGUCACUACUUUCUAUUCAAACAGGGCCACCUCCCUCUGGGGGUAGACCUGUAAUGACUCAGGUGUGGGUAUUGUGUUGGAUUUCGUUUAAACAUUUACACUAAUGGGAGGAGUGUAGUGUCACCCGUAGUGGGAAUGAUUGGUAGGAAUAAUCCAGCACUUGAUCCCCCAAAUCUGCCUCACGUUGAAAGGAAAGAAACAUUCCGGACAAUAGGAAUAAUGUGGCUAUGUAGUGUGUUUACAGGCCUCGGACAAGAGUUACUCUGAGGGCCUGAGACACCUUUUCCAGGGGAACAGGCUUGUAAAGAGCCGGAACAUGAGAUCCACACCCCUCAGGAGUCUUUUCUGAACACGGGCAUUGGCAUGACCCAGGCUGACCUCAUAAUAACUUGGGAACCAUUGCUAGGUCUGGCACGAAGUGUUGACAGAGACUGUCUAGGUGUGUGGCCUUUGAUAUUACGAAUUGUUAGUUUUUGUGAUCUGUUUGGCUGGUGUGUGUGGUGGCUUUUCAGGGUGAGCACACGUGAAAGUGAGAGGAACAGCUGUGACAACCAGGUUCUGGAACUGAACGGUUGAUUGUUAUAAUUGCUCAGCAAGAACUUUUCCUUGGGCAGAGCCAUCUUGCUUUCUCUCUGUUAACUUUCAAAACCCCGGGGAAGGCUGCUGCAGGCAUCUUCAUGAUUGGACAGCUCUGUGUCGGAUUCCGUUCUGUCUCUGGUGGCAGAGAACACGGUGUGGCCACAAGCAUGAUGCCAACGAGCAGUGUGCCAUGGAGUCAUCUCCUGGUCAGUCCGUCACAGGCUGUGUAGACCAUGCACCUCUCUGGGGAAGGCCACUUGGAAUUCAUGGCAUUGCUCUUCAUUUCCUGACAAGCUCUUUGACCUUGUUAAGACAAACCCACUAAAACCUGUGCAUCUAAAGAAACUAAGCAAGAGAGAGGACCCUAACUAAAAUGCCCAAUCCCCAUCCGGAAAGGCAAAGAGGAUGGACAUCAGAAGAAGAAGAAAACAGGAAACAACCUAGGAACCUACCACAGAGGGCCUCUGAAAGCCUCUGCCCUUCAGACUAUCAAAGCAGAUGCUGAGCCUGAUGGCCAACCGUUGGGCAGGUGAACGGAAUUUUAGGAUAUGUCGCUGAACAGCUCCAGGGAAAUGCUCCAGCUGAGCAAGAUCCUGAAAGUCAUCAACAGAAGCAUUCUGCGUUGUCAGAAGACAAAGAGAAGUGAAAGGAAUUCUCGGAGGUGUUCACGAAUUUCAAGCUUGGAAUCCAUAAACACUCCACUAAGUGGCAGCACCUGUCCACGUUCCUCUGCUAACCCACCGCUCAGUCUGUGAUAACAUACCUGUCAGAGAACGUGUCUCACGUGAAGGAAACACAGAAGUCCAUCUGCUCUAGGUCUGGUGUGUUCCAACUUGGCUCUGAUCAAAGCUGCCUUGCAGCACGUAAAAUGAAGGAAGGACAGACACAACAAGACCUGCUUUCAGUCACUGAGUCAUAGUUUAUAAUGAAUCCUUUAGGGGAGAGCCGACUCUACCUUUGUGGGGCGUGAGCGGAAGCCAGGCUCUGAAAUGGUGUAUGUGACUGAGUCUGCACGCAGCAGCUCACAGGGCUUCAUGGAAAGAGCCUGGCCGCGGCGACUAAGGAGGGCCUGGAAUGCCCAGAGAAUGAGUGAGAGAAGAAAAUGGAUGAGAGCAAGGCAAAGUUUCAGAGUCUCUGCGAUCUCAUGAAGGAGCUCUUGGAGAAAAAGGUUGAGAUGUUAAGUUUGUGUCAGAGAUUCUCCCCUGAAAAACAUACAGGCUGUCCCCGGAGCAAUCACAGACUACUGUGUCUGGGAACUUUCUGGAUGUUUCCUCUGGUCUCUUGAUGAAGUAGGAACUUCAGCUUUUCUUUGCAUAUACAUCAUUACAGUGAUUAUCCCAUCUAAUAUACAGGCAUGAGAAAGGACUUGCUGUCUUGCCCAGGUUAUUCAUGAAUCCCUGGACUCAAGCCACCAUCCUGGAAACUCAGUAUCCAGAGUAACUGGGGUAGUCGUCUGCCAUUCUUUCUUUUUAAUUAUUUUUAUUUUUAUUAAUUACAGUUUAUUCACUUUAUAUGUACCUCCCUCCCUCUUCCCCUCCCAAUUCCACCCUCCCUCUUCCCCACCCGUGUCCCUCUCCUAGUCCACUGAUAGGUGAGGUCCUCCUCCCCUUCCCUCUGAUCCUAGUCUAUCAGAUCUCAUCAGGAGUGGCUGCAUUGUCAUCUUCUGUGGCCUGAUAAGGCUGCUCCCCCCCCAGGUCAAGGGGAUCAAAGAGCAGGCCAAUCAGUUCAUGUCAGAGACAGACCCUGUCCCCAUUACUGUGGAACCCACUUGGACACUGAACUGCCAUAGGCUACCUCUAUGCAGGGGUUCCAGGUCAUCUCCAUGAGUGGUCCUUGGCUGGAGUAUCAGUCUCAGAAAAGACCCCUGUGCCCAGACUUUUUUAAUCUGUUGCUGUCCUUGUAGAACUCCUGUCUUCUCCAGGUCUUACUAUCUCCCCCUACUUUUAUAAGAUUCCCUGCUCUCUGCCCAAAGUUUGGCUAUGAGUCUCAGCAUCUGCCUUGAUACCCUGCAGGGUAGAGCCUUUCAGAGGCCCUCUGUGGUAGGCUCCUGUCCUGUUCCCUGUUUUCUCCCUCCUCCAAUGUCCAUCCUCUUUGCCUUUCUGAGUGGGGACUGAUCAUCCUAGCCAGAGUCCUCCUUCCUGAUUAGUUUCCUUAGGUGUACAGAUUUUAGUAUGUUUAUCCUAUAUUAUAUAUCUAGUAGCCACUUAUGAGUGAGUAUAUACCCUGUGUGUCUUUCUACUUCUGGGAUAGCUCACUCAGGAUGAUCUUUCCAAUUCCCACUAUUUACCUGCAAAUUUCAUGAUGUCCUUGUUUUUUUAUUGCUGAGUAAUAUUCCAUUGUGUAGAUGUACCACAAUUUCUGUAUCCAUUCCUCCACUGAGGGGCAUCUGGGCUGUUUCCAGCUUCUGACUAUUACAAAUAAAGCUGCUACAAACAUG